rnacentral:tRNA from 1 species
GGGGGAGUAGCUCAACUGGUAGAGUAGCGGUCUCCAAAACCGUUGGUUGCGGGUUCGAAUCCUGUCUCCCCUGCCA